AUACGAAGGGGGCUAGCGUUGCUCGGAAUGACUGGGCGUAAAGGGAGCGUAGGUGGAUAUUUAAGUGGGAUGUGAAAUACCUGAGCUUAACUUGGGUGCUGCAUUCCAAACUGGAUAUCUAGAGUGCAGGAGAGGAAAGUGGAAUUCCUAGUGUAGCGGUGAAAUGCGUAGAGAUUAGGAAGAACCCCAGUGGCGAAGGCGACUUUCUGGACUGUAACUGACACUGAGGCUCGAAAGCGUGGGGAGC
rnacentral:rRNA from 1 species